rnacentral:rRNA from 1 species
UUCCGGUUGAUCCCGCCGGAGAUCACCGCUAUUAGAGUUCCACUAACCCAUGCGAGUUCCUGGGUAAAACCAGAGCGAACGGCUGAGUAACACGUAGUUAACAUCACUUUAGGUGGCGAAUAACCUUGGGAAACUGAGAUGAAUACGCCAUAGUCAAUUAUGCCUGGAACGGUUUAUUGACCAAAGCUUCGGCGCCUAAAGAUUGGACUGCGGUGGAUUAGGUAGAUGUUAGGGUAAUGACCUGACAUGCCAAUAAUCCAUAGGGGCCAUGAAAGUGGUAGCCUCCAGAUGGAUUCUGAGACACGAAUCCAGGCCCUAUGGGGCGCAGCAGGGGGGAAAACUCCGCAAUGCACGAAAGUGUGACGGGGGAACUCUAAGUGCCAGCACGCUGUGUUGGCUUUUCAUUAGUCCAAAUCGCUAGUGGAAUAAGUGGGGGGUAAGACCGUUGCCAGCCUUUUUAAGAAUUGGCAAUGCCCAAGUCUUAGAACUGGAUGCCGCGGUAAUAACGGCUCCACAAGUGGUGAUCACGUAUAUUGGGUCUAAAGCAUUCGUAGCCGGUUUGUUAAGUCUUCUGUGAAAUCUGAUAGAAAACUAUCAGGCGUGCAGGAGAUACUGGCAAGCUUGGAACCGGGAGGAGCCUGGAGUACUUUUAGGGUAGGGGUAAAAUCCUGUAAUCCUAAAGGGACUACCUGUGGCGAAGGCGCCAGGCUAGAACGGAUUCGACGGUGAGGAAUGAAAGCGAGGGGAGCAAAGGGGAUUAGAUACCCCCGUAGUCCUCGCUGUAAACGAUGCCCGCUUGGUAUUGGAAGUUGCUAGACUUCUUCCAGUGCCGUAGGGAAGCCAUUGAGCGGGCCACCUGGGAAGUACAGUCGCAAGGCUGAAACUUAAAGGAAUUGGCGGGGGAGCACACAAGGGGUGCGGUCUGCGGUUCAAUUGGACUCAACGCCGGGAACCUCACCAGGGGUGACAGCAGUAUGAUGGUCAGUCUGAAGGGCUUACCUGACGCGCUGAGAGGUAUUGCAUGGCCGUCGUCAGCUCGUGCCGCGAGAGCUUUUACUAAGGUCUUUCUUAAGAAAGGCUCCGGUAAAGGUGUCCUGUUAACAGGUCGUGGUGCAGCAAAAAUGACAUCACCAUGGAAGCUUUUCAUCCACCCUAUAGUGUAUAACAAGAAAUAAAAUAUAUGCAAGUAUGCAAAAGAGUAAGCGCGUAUACCUAAUAAGGGUUCGGAUAAAUUAUCAAAAGCUUUUAAUCUGACAGAUAGUCAGGUAACGAGCGAGACCCACGCCGUAUGUUGCCAGCUGUUUCUUCGGAAGCGGCGCACUCAUGCGGGACUGCCCGUGCUAAAUGGGAGGAAGGAGUGGUCAACGGUAGGUCAGUAUGGUCCGAAUCCCCUGGGCUACACGCGGGCGCCAAUGGCAAGGACAAUAGGAUGCAACUCCGAAAGGAGGAGCUAAUCCCUGAACCCUUGUCUCAGUACAGAUUGUGGGUUGCAACUCACCCACAUGACGCCGGAAUCCCUAGUAGGCGAAUGUUAGCAUCUUUCGUCGAAUACGUCCCCGCUCCUUGCACACACCGCCCGUC